rnacentral:rRNA from 1 species
AACGAACGCUGGCGGCAGGCCUAACACAUGCAAGUCGAACGCCGUAGCAAUACGGAGUGGCAGACGGGUGAGUAACGCGUGGGAACCUACCUUACGGUCGGGAAUAGCUCAGGGAAACUUGGGGUAAUACCGGAUACGCCCUUACGGGGAAAGAUUUAUCGCCGUUAGAUGGGCCCGCGUAGGAUUAGCUAGUUGGUGAGGUAAUGGCUCACCAAGGCGACGAUCCUUAGCUGGUCUGAGAGGAUGAUCAGCCACACUGGGACUGAGACACGGCCCAGACUCCUACGGGAGGCAGCAGUGGGGAAUAUUGGACAAUGGGCGCAAGCCUGAUCCAGCCAUGCCGCGUGAGUGACGAAGGCCUUAGGGUUGUAAAGCUCUUUUGGCGGGGAAGAUAAUGACGGUACCCGCAGAAUAAGCUCCGGCUAACUUCGUGCCAGCCGCCGCAGUAA